CAAAGGUAGCCUACUCAGUAGUUCUUUAAUUGGGAACUUGGAUGAAAGGUUGGACAAGAAGAAACCUGUCUCUGAUGUAAAAUUUGAAUUUCACUUUUAAGUGAAAAGGCUUAAAUAAAAUAAGGGGACGAUAAGACCCUAUAAAACUUGAUAUACAAGAAAUACACCAACUUUUAAUUUUAUAGUCUAAAGAAGGGGGUGGAUAAUAUUGUUUUACUGGGGCGGUAGUUAUAUAGAAUUAGAAACUGUAAAGAAUUAUAAAUAAUAAUAAUUAGAAAAUAUGACCCUCUUCUUGGGGAUUAAAAGAUAAAGUUACUUUAGGGAUAACAGCGUUAUUUCUCUUGAGAGUCCAAAUCGACAGAGUAAGUUGCGACCUCGAUGUUGAAUCAAGAUGUUAUUCAGGUGCAGAAGCCUUGAA
rnacentral:rRNA from 1 species